rnacentral:rRNA from 1 species
UACGAAGGGGGCUAGCGUUGUUCGGAUUUACUGGGCGUAAAGCGCGUGUAGGCGGGUCGUUAAGUUGGGGGUGAAAUCCCGAGGCUCAACCUCGGAACUGCCUUCAAAACUGGCGACCUGGAGCAAAGAAGAGGCGAGUGGAAUUGCGAGUGUAGAGGUGAAAUUCGUAGAUAUUGGGAAGAACACCGGUGGCGAAGGCGGCGACCUGGUCCGAUACUGACGCUGAGGCGCGAAA